AGUAACGCGUGGGUAACCAGCCCUUGAAACCGGGAUAACAUCGCGAAAGCGUUGCUAAUACCGGAUAAUGUCCUGAAAACCGUGGUUUUCGGGAUGAAAGGUGACCUCUCCAUGGGAGUUGCCGUUCAGGGACGGGCCCGCGUCCCAUUAGCUUGUUGGUGGGGUAAUGGCCUACCAAGGCGACGAUGGGUAGCUGGUCUGAGAGGAUGAUCAGCCACACUGGCACUGAAACACGGGCCAG
rnacentral:rRNA from 1 species